CCUACGGGGGGCAGCAGUGGGGAAUAUUGGACAAUGGGCGAAAGCCUGAUCCAGCCAUGCCGCGUGUGUGAAGAAGGCCUUCGGGUUGUAAAGCACUUUCAGUGGGGAAGAAAGCCUUGGGGCUAAUACCCUCGAGGAAGGACAUCACCCACAGAAGAAGCACCGGCUAACUCCGUGCCAGCAGCCGCGGUAAUACGGAGGGUGCGAGCGUUAAUCGGAAUUACUGGGCGUAAAGCGCGCGUAGGCGGUCUGAUAAGCCGGUUGUGAAAGCCCCGGGCUCAACCUGGGAACGGCAUCCGGAACUGUCAGGCUAGAGUGCAGGAGAGGAAGGUAGAAGUCCCGGUGUAGCGGUGAAAUGCGUAGAGAUCGGGAGGAAUACCAGUGGCGAAGGCGGCCUUCUGGACUGACACUGACGCUGAGGUGCGAAAGCGUGGGUAGCAAACAGGAUUAGAUACCCGGGUAGUC
rnacentral:rRNA from 1 species